CAAGUCAACUAGAUGAUUGCUCUUAAAAAAUCCACCUUACCGUGGGUUGCUAGGGGAGGAAAGUCCGAACACCCUCCUUUGUUACGUCAAGUAGCAAAGGUGCCAAGGAUAGUCGUUAAUGGCGACCAGGAGCAGAAAUGGGCAGAAGUUCUAUAGUCUUCUGGCUGUUUUCAAGCCUCGGGAUAGUACCCCGCAUCGCGGGGUUUCGUUAAGAACAGUUCUUAUCGAAGCAACAGAAACAUACCGCCCACCUUCGUCCCGCAUCGCGGGACUUCGGCGAGGUAAGGGUGAAAUCGUGCGUCCUGAACGCGCAAGCGGGAGGGAAUAGUCCUGCCUACGGCGGGAUGAAGUAAGAGCGCACGCGUUACCUAUGUGAAUAGGGACGGAGCAAACCCUAUCCGGUGUAAAGUCAAAUAAGUCAAGCUCAGCUUGAUGGGUUGACUGCAUGAUCUCGUCAGCAAUGGCGAGGCAAGAGAGAUGAUCAUCAUCCGCCCUGUCUGCCUUCAGGCAGACGAUGAGGCGGAAACAGAAUUCGGCUUAUCGGUUGACUUGGGAA
rnacentral:RNase_P_RNA from 4 species